UCCAUCUCCUUCUUCUUCUUUUCAGUGCUGGACAUUGAACCAACCCAGGGCCUUUGCACUGACAGGGUCUAAGUGGUGAAGUUAUUCAAGCUGAGCACUAACUUGUAGUCCUCCGGCCUCAGACCCCCAGAGUGCUGGGAUUACAGGUGUGCACCACUGUGUGCAACAUUUCAUUGCUUUCAGAGCGUUGGCUCUGGGCACUGUGCUGAGACGCCUACACCAGCUUGGCCACUGUCUUAUUAUAAAGGUUGAAUCCGGGGCUUGAGGCCAUCACCUGUCCAGGUGGAGUGGGCUGUGCCAGGGGCAGCUGCUGUUGUGCGGGUCAAGCCUGGCAGGGUGGACAGGUGGCUCCCAGGACUGGGAGAUCCGGGUGACCCGACCUGCGGUCCUGUCCUCCCCACCGUGGUUCCCAGGCCCUUCUCCCCACCUGACUUGCUUUCUUCUGGCUGAGACCCAGGCCUGGCUCCAUCUUGGCCCAGGUAUGUGCCUGGGCGCUCACAUGUACGUACGUGGGGGCCUCGUGGUGCGCCCGGCCGUGGUCAGUCAGUGUGACGGUCAGAACCACAAGCCCAGACAUCUUCCUUCUCCAGCCUUAGUUUGUCUGAAUGUAGGAGUCUGCCACCCCCAGCCGCUUGUGAAGUUCGCCAUGAGCUGAAGGACCCUGUUGUCAGGCUGUCCUGGGCCCCGGAGGGUGCUGGGUACUGGGAACUGGCUGGUCCUGGGCUGGCUGAAGAAGUCUUGCCAGACCCUUCCCAGCUCAAAGGGGCUCCCCUCCUCUUAGGAUCAAAGCCAGACACUCCCUGCAGCGCCCCCACAGUCCCGCUACCCCCGCCUGUGCCCUCUGGUCCCCCAUCCCUUUCCAACCUCUCUUAUUUGGUGUUUGGUUUUUUUUUGUUGUUGUUAUUUUGGUUUGGUUUUUCUUCCAGUACCGGGAAUCGAACUCAUGACCUUGCACUUGCCAGGCAGGCGCUGUGCUGCUGAGCUAAAUCCCCAGCCCCUACCCUCUGUUAUUUGGGAUCCGGCCUCAUUACCUCCUCCCUCCUCCCGGAGCAGCAGACUUGGCCCUCGGCUUUGCUGGGCCCUCUCUAGUGAGUCCCCUCAGGAGUGCGCCUGCCCUGGCCGUUUGGUGGCCCUCCAUCCACCGGCUGGUCUGCGCUGUCCUCCUCUUGUCUGUCUCUCAUGCCCAGCAGCGGGCAGGGAGCUGAGUGGGCACCAGCCUCACUGCGCAGGCCCAGACAGGCUGCGGAGAGCCCUGCCGCUUGGGAGCAGCUCGGAGGAACCUUUCAGUGUUGUCCCCAAUUUCCUGCUCUUCCCUCCUAAAUCUUAGAAUGGAGGGGGCUGCUGUGAGCUAGGUGGAGGGUUUACCCCAAGAGACAGGCCCUGCAGGGGGACACGAAGAGGGGCCGCAUCCAGGUGAGGCAUUGCCCCCUUCCACCUUCACUCACCGAGGACCCCACCCACCCAGCCCUUGCCUGAGGGAUAGACCCCAGCAAGAAAGUGCCCGCCUCCCAGGCCUACUGGACAGCAUGAGUGGCCAGGAGCCCUGGAUGGGGACAAAGAAGCUGAUCCCUGCAGGGACAAGGCUGCUUCUAGGACCCCAACCCAAGUGGGGACCCCUCAGGGCCCCUCCCAGCACCUCACUGGGGUGUGAAGUUAGGGCUCCAACUCUCCUGGCCCCGGGAAAGGGCAGUGACCUGUUCAGCCAUCCCCCAGUGCAUCUCGACGGUGUCCGCGUCUGAUGCCGCUCUCCACGUUGCUGCAGCGUCGGUUUUUACCCUACUUAACCUCGGACCCUCUGCCCUAGUCCUCCCCACUCCCACCCCACUACCUCUCUGCUGCAAGACCCAGCCUGGGCAGCCCUGGGGAGCCCGGAGGCCUGGACCCUUAGGGGAGACCAGAGGGACUUCCCAGUGCAGUGGAGGCUGCUGGCACCAGAGACCCCGGGCCAAGCCUCAGGCCCGCCCGCCUGCACCCCCCUCCCACGGGGCUGAGGCUGCAGCAGGCACCUCCCCCACCCAGCCUGGCCAAACCCUGGUUCCCAUAGGGGGCGGGGUGGGGGUGAGGGCUCUGAGCUUCUCCAAGAGGUGCCCACAGGCAGCCUUAUAUGGCCAGGAGGCCUCGAAGCCCAGGAGGAAUGUUAUCCCCCAUAAAGGCCCAGCCGGCAGAGCCUGAGCCCAGGCAGGACCCUGGAACUGCAGCCUGGCCAGGGCCUGGGCUCCGGGAGCGGAUGGCCUGCAGUGUUCCACAAAUGACAGUCUCGUAAAGGAAGCUAGCCUGGGAAGCCUCUCACCACCUGUGGGACAGCUGGCUGGGGCCCGGCAGGAAGGAGACACCUGCUCCCCAGCCUCUCCUCACAUCCCACAUCGCAGCAGGCUGCCCCAGGGUCCGGGGACAUGACGGGGCAAGGAAGUGCCCGCCUCUCUCACCUGCUUGGUCUGCGUGUUGUCGCCAUGCUGGGGUGCGAUGUUCUGGAGCUGCUCCCUGGCCAGGCCCCAAGAUGCGAACAGGAGGCUGUGGGCACUGCUGCUGUGUGCACUUUGCAGGCCGCCUGAGGUUCACGGGGGGCUCCUCGUAGUCGGCUGCUGAGCAGGACCACGAAGUUAGACAGCGGCCGUCAGGGAGCGGACGCGGGGACCAGGACCUGGUCUGGAGGACGUGCGGAGCGGCACAGCGGCGGAGGCAGCCAGCCUGGAGUCUCCUCCGAUGAUUGAACACAGAGUCACAAUGA